rnacentral:rRNA from 1 species
UACGUAGGGGGCAAGCGUUGUCCGGAAUCAUUGGGCGUAAAGCGCGUGUAGGCGGCUCGAUAAGUCCGCUCUGAAAGUCCAGGGCUCAACCCUGGGAUGCGGGUGGAUACUGUCGGGCUCGAGUCCGGAAGAGGCGAGUGGAAUUCCUGGUGUAGCGGUGAAAUGCGCAGAUAUCAGGAGGAACACCGGUGGCGAAGGCAGCUCUCUGGGACGGUACUGACGCUGAGACGCGAAAGCGUGGGGAGCGAACAGG